rnacentral:rRNA from 1 species
UAGUUUUUAUAGUAACGGGGCUCAACUCUUGCCAUUUCGAACAGAGAAGUUAAGCCCGUUAGCACCGAUGGUAUUGCAUCCGUUGGAGAGUAGGUCUUUGCUUUUUU